rnacentral:lncRNA from 1 species
AGAGAGAGAGAGAGACGUGUGACUGUAUUUUGACGAAAUAGUGUAUAUGUUGGAGCAAUGUCUGGUUGGAUAAAUUUAAUAACACCUUUUCAGCUAGAUUAGAAAUCCAGGUCUCAUAGGAAACGAGAAAUCUGCCCAGACAUUAUCCAUACAUCCAAACACACUUUCCAAGCAGAUUGGUAACAAUUAAUCAAAUCCACCUUCUAUCUCCGGGUAAACAAACGCAGCCUGUGUGUUUAUGCAGUCGCAGUUAAUAGCUGUGCAGCUAACAUACACCUUCAUAUUUAAGAAAAAGAAAAUUGCCAACGUAAAAAGAAAGAAAGAAAAGUAUGAGGGGGCCAGGUGUAUUGUAUUUGGAUUUCCAUGAUGUUUUAAAGACUUUUGUGGAUUUCAAAAGUUUAGAGGUAUUCAAUUAAGAUUUAUAACAAUAAAUUAAAAAUCUAUAAAAGUCUGUAGGUAUUCAAUUAGGAUUUAUAAUUCAAAAUUUUAAAUUCAUUAAAGUAUGAAGGUAUUAUAUAAACACACGAAUUGUUAAAGAUUUAUUAAAUUAUGGAUUUGCACAGAUUGUUUAGUGUAAAUUGUAAAUAAAACAAUCCAACCCUAUUUUUGUGGAUUUACAAUUUUCUUCUUUUUAUUUUUUAUUUGUUAUCUCUCUCUCUCUNNN